rnacentral:rRNA from 1 species
UCCUACGGGAGGCAGCAGUAGGGAAUAUUGGACAAUGGGCGCAAGCCUGAUCCAGCCAUGCCGCGUGAGUGAAGAAGGCCCUCGGGUUGUAAAGCUCUUUUGUUGGGGAAGAAAAGCAGUUGGUUAAUACCCGAUUGUUCUGACGGUACCCAAAGAAUAAGCACCGGCUAACUUCGUGCCAGCAGCCGCGGUAAUACGAAGGGUGCAAGCGUUACUCGGAAUUACUGGGCGUAAAGCGUGCGUAGGUGGUUGUUUAAGUCUGAUGUGAAAGCCCUGGGCUCAACCUGGGAAUGGCAUUGGAUACUGGAUAGCUAGAGUGCGGUAGAGGGUAGUGGAAUUCCCGGUGUAGCAGUGAAAUGCGUAGAGAUCGGGAGGAACAUCCGUGGCGAAGGCGACUACCUGGGCCAGCACUGACACUGAGGCACGAAAGCGUGGGGAGCAAACAGGAUUAGAUACCCUGGUAGUCCACGCCCUAAACGAUGCGAACUGGAUGUUGGGCUCAACUUGGAGCUCAGUAUCGAAGCUAACGCGUUAAGUUCGCCGCCUGGGGAGUACGGCCGCAAGACUGAAACUCAAAGGAAUUGACGG